GUGUCAGCAGCCGCGGUAAUACGGAGGGGGCUAGCGUUGUUCGGAAUCACUGGGCGUAAAGGGCGUGUAGGCGGCGGAUUUAGUUAGGCGUGAAAGCCCCGGGCUCAACCUGGGAACUGCGCUUGAUACUGGUCUGCUGGAGUCCGGGAGAGGCGAGUGGAAUAUCCAGUGUAGAGGUGAAAUUCGUAGAUAUUGGAUGGAACACCGAUGGCGAAGGCAGCUCGCUGGACCGGGACUGACGCUGAGGCGCGAAAGCGUGGGGAGCAAACAGGAUUAGAGACCCUGGUAGUCCACGCUGUAAACGAUGUUCACUAGACGUCGGGGGUUAGGCCUUCGGUGUCGCAGCUAACGCAUUAAGUGAACCGCCUGGGGAGUACGGCCGCAAGGUUAAAACUUAAAGGAAUUGGCGGGG
rnacentral:rRNA from 1 species